GGGUGGAGAAAUGGGGUGUGAUCGAGCCUUAUGGCAGGUCCUUGCCGAGGCGGAGCGAGAUGACUCGGGGCAAGGCGCCUCAGUUCCAGGUCUCUUGGGGCGCCGUUGAUAAUUAGGAAAAUGCACCGUAACCGUGUCCCGUCUCAUCUGUCCCCGCUGCCUGCGUGCUGGGAUAAAGUGCGUGCUGAUCACACUACACCCCAGCACACAUAGUUUGUUAGUAUGGGUUUGCCCCAGUAACGAGUAAAGACCCCACCCGGUAUUGUUGAAGGUGGCGCUGGAAUCUCUGAAGUAUUGUAACCCAUAAUCUUUCUACCACUUAUGUGUUCCUUUGUGCCUUCCUGUGUGUCAUACUCCCGUCAGCUUCCCAUUGUCUUCCAUCCCAUCCUAGGGAGGUCAUGAAGAAGCUGCUUUGAGCCGAGGCACAUGCUCUGGGACGUGAGGAGCCUGCUUCCUCUCUGCUCUGUGUCACCUUGACUCUCUAAUAAAGAGUUUAAAAUAGC